rnacentral:rRNA from 1 species
UGGGGAAUAUUGGACAAUGGGCGCAAGCCUGAUCCAGCCAUGCCGCGUGGAUGAUGAAGGCCCUAGGGUUGUAAAGUCCUUUCGGCGGGGAAGAUAAUGACGGUACCCGCAGAAGAAGCCCCGGCUAACUUCGUGCCAGCAGCCGCGGUAAUACGAAGGGGGCUAGCGUUGCUCGGAAUCACUGGGCGUAAAGCGCACGUAGGCGGACUCUUAAGUCGGUGGUGAAAUCCUGGAGCUCAACUCCAGAACUGCCUUCGAUACUGAGAGUCUUGAGUCCGGGAGAGGUGAGUGGAACUGCGAGUGUAGAGGUGAAAUUCGUAGAUAUUCGCAAGAACACCAGUGGCGAAGGCGGCUCACUGGCCCGGUACUGACGCUGAGGUGCGAAAGCGUGGGGAGCAAACA